UGGUGGCGAGCGGCGGACGGGUGAGUAAUGCCUAGGAAUCUGCCUAGUAGUGGGGGAUAACGUCCGGAAACGGGCGCUAAUACCGCAUACGUCCUACGGGAGAAAGUGGGGGAUCUUCGGACCUCACGCUAUUAGAUGAGCCUAGGUCGGAUUAGCUAGUUGGUGAGGUAAUGGCUCACCAAGGCGACGAUCCGUAACUGGUCUGAGAGGAUGAUCAGUCACACUGGAACUGAGACACGGUCCAGACUCCUACGGGAGGCAGCAGUGGGGAAUAUUGGACAAUGGGCGAAAGCCUGAUCCAGCCAUGCCGCGUGUGUGAAGAAGGUCUUCGGAUUGUAAAGCACUUUAAGUUGGGAGGAAGGGCAGUUACCUAAUACGUGAUUGUUUUGACGUUACCGACAGAAUAAGCACCGGCUAACUCUGUGCCAGCAGCCGCGGUAAUACAGAGGGUGCAAGCGUUAAUCGGAAUUACUGGGCGUAAAGCGCGCGUAGGUGGUUUGUUAAGUUGGAUGUGAAAGCCCCGGGCUCAACCUGGGAACUGCAUCCAAAACUGGCAAGCUAGAGUAUGGUAGAGGGUGGUGGAAUUUCCUGUGUAGCGGUGAAAUGCGUAGAUAUAGGAA
rnacentral:rRNA from 1 species